GGCUGAUUAAGAAACUGAGACUCUAGGGGAGCAAAAAGGAAUAUAGUCAGUAAUGGGAUCUAACUCUUCUAGUUGAGAAUCCUGGCUUCAUUUCAUUCCCCAGAGCUGAGUUUCCUACUAUUCCAAGAGAAAGGAGAAUGGAGAAACUCCUGGAAGUGUCCUUGGUGACCUUGUGGCUUCUACUAGUCAGGGUGAACAACCAACGAGGAGAGGUUCCUCAGGCCCUGAACAUCCAGGAGGGUGAAAAUGCCACCAUGAACUGCAGUUAUAAAUCUUCUAUAAUGAACCUGGAGUGGUAUAGACAGGAUGCAAGUGGAGGUCCUGUCCUGCUAAUUUUGAUGAGAUCAAAUGAGAAAGAGAAACACAGUGGAAGACUAAGAGCCACCCUUGAAACCUCCACCAAAAGAAGCUCCUUGUCCAUCACUGCUGCCCGGGCUGCGGACACUGCUGCUUACUUCUGUGCUACAGAUGCACGAUGUGCAGCAGGCACCCGCAGCUCGCAGCCACACUCAAACUCUGCCAGGACUGCUUCCUGGAAGCCCUGAAGGAACCACCAUGGGCCAGAAGAUAGUUCAAGCUCAGACUGAAAUUUCUGUGCUGGAGAAGGAGGCUGUGAGCAUGGACUGUGUGUAUGAAACCAGUGAUCCUACUUAUUCCUUAUUCUGGUACAAACAACCACCGAGUGGGGAAAUGAUUCUCCUUAUUCGUCAGGACUCUUACAGUGAGCACAAUGCAACUGAGGGCCGGUAUUCUCUAAAUUUCCAGAAGGCAGCGAGCUCCAUCAGGCUCACCAUCACAGCCUCCCAGCUCCUGGACUCAGCAGUGUAUUUCUGUGCUGGGAGAGAGAGCACAGUGAGAGGGGGCCUGUAGGAGCCCUACAAAAACCUCAGCAUGAGACAGGGGCCUGGGAAGUGACUUCAUCACAGACAGGGAGCAGCAGGGGCUGUAGCAGCAUAGGUGGGGUUGGCAAGGAACCCUCAGUGCAAUGUGUGUAGAAUGCGUAGAUGUAACCCCUGUUAGAAGCACAUAUAUUCUCUGUUCUCUACA